UAGUCGACUCCUACGGGGAGGCAGCAGUGGGGGAAUAGUUGCACAAUGGGCGCAAGCCUGAUGCAGCCAUGCCGCGUGUGUGAAGAAGGACCUUCGGGUUGUAAAGCACUUUCAGUCGUGAGGAAGGUAGUGUAGUUAAUAGCUGCAUUAUUUGACGUUAGCGACAGAAGAAGCACCGGCUAACUCCGUGCCAGCAGCCGCGGUAAUACGGAGGGUGCGAGCGUUAAUCGGAAUUACUGGGCGUAAAGCGCAUGCAGGUGGUUUGUUAAGUCAGAUGUGAAAGCCCGGGGCUCAACCUCGGAAUAGCAUUUGAAACUAGGCAGACUAGAGUACUGUAGAGGGGGGUAGGAAUUUCAGGUGUAGCGGUGAAAUGCGUAGAGAUCUGAAGGAAUACCGGUGGCGAAGGCGGCCCCCUGGACAGAUACUGACACUCAGAUGCGAAAGCGUGGGGAGCAAACAGGAUUAGAUACCCUGGUAG
rnacentral:rRNA from 1 species